AAUAAUAACGAGCUGACCUUACAAGUUAUAGUACUGGAAUUCUGGAAAGACAUUAUAAAUAGAGAAGAUGUGUAUGGAAAGCCAACAGUGAGUCUUCAAUACUAAUCAUUUGUCAAAGUAAGGUUUUUAUUUUUUGAGAGGUGAUAUUUGUAAAAGUAGUUGAUUAUCAUUUACCAGAAUGGCGUGCCUCAAAAAUCUGAAGUUAUUAGUUUGUGUGAUACUGCUCAUUUUCAUGGUAUCAGAUUUAGCAUCAGGGCAGUGGUGCACCGUGAAAGGUUAUGAAUGCAAUGCUAGUACAUAUCCAUGCUGCCCUGGAACAGUAUGUAGCGGGGUAAUUUCUGGUUUCUGUUGUGCUCCUGUAUGGUGGGGACAUGACUGCUCCCACUAACCAGUAACCAAUGACACAACACAAGUGCGUUAUUGUGUGUGUGAACAUGUGGUUGAUAUUUGCUAUGCCUAUCAGCCUAUAUUAUACUACCUCUGUUUUUUUUAGUUGCAAUGAUUAGACAUUUUCUACUCACACUUUAUGUAUAAUCGUUGCAACUAAAAAAAAUAGAGGUAGUAGUAAUAUUUACGUUUUAGUUGGAAGUAGGCACGUCGCCAAAUAAUAACUCCUCCAUAUGGAGGAGUAUGUACUAUGUAAUAUGUGUAUGAUUGAAUGAUGGUCCUUCGUCUGACUAUCACAUUAUCUUUGUUGUUGUUUUUUUUGCCGAAAAUCUUUGUUGUUCAAUAUGGAUGUAUUAUCAAUAUUGUCUAUGUCAUGAAUAUAUAUUGAGAACUAUGGGAUAUGUUUGUACUA